rnacentral:lncRNA from 1 species
GGCAACUCAUAGCCCUUUUAGGCAUCCAUAUAGCCCUAUAGGCAGAACAUAACCCUGGUAGGCAUAGAUCACAUUCCUGCAGCUAACAACAAUAGCCCAAAGUCAACAAUAACAAUCCAACAGCUAAAAGUGAGAAAUUUAGUUAUAGGCAACCUAUACAAAUAGCCUCUAAGUCGUGUCCCACAUACGAAUGUUACUACUGAAUAAGAAUCCUGAUAAGAGAGGAUUAUACGCACUCGAGCAACCAACAAUCAACAAUAAUGGCUAUAAGUAUAACAACGAUAACAACUCAAUUACAUUGCUCCUAAGCUUUAAGGAAACAUGCCAUAGGAAGAGAAUAGCCUUAACAUACCUUUUUCGCUAAAUUCACGUGGCCUAAAGACUUUAACUCAUAACUCCCUCGAUACUACAACAAGGUAGGACCAUAAUCAACACAUACAAUAAAAUAUACCAUGACAAUACAAUAAAAGAUAUGUAUUUCCGUCGCAAAUUGCUAUUUGCUGCUUAUAAAAGCUUGAGUUGAUGAAAGAAGGGUCUUACCUCGAUCUUAGGUUCGUAAUUCACCUCAAAACCUUCAAAUAUAUUCAAACCCCUGCUGUCCCAACU